AUUGAACGCUAGCGGGAUGCCUUACACAUGCAAGUCGAACGGAGUGGCGAACGGGUGAGUAAUGUAUCGGAACGUGCCCAGUAGCGGGGGAUAACUACGCGAAAGCGCAGCUAAUACCGCAUACUAUUGGAGCGGCCGAUAUCGGCUUAGCUAGUUGGUGGGGUAACGGCUCACCAAGGCGACGAUCCGUAGCCGGUUUGAGAGGACGAUCAGCCACACUGGGACUGAGACACGGCCCAGACUCCUACGGUAGGCAGAAGUGGGGAAUGUUGGACAAUGGGGGAAAGCCUGAUCCAGCCAUCCCGCGUGUGCGAAGAAGGCUUUCGGGUUGUAAAGCACUUUUGGCAGGGAAGCGGUACCUGCAGAAUAAGCACCGGCUAACUACGUGCCAGCCGCCGCGGUAAUGC
rnacentral:rRNA from 1 species